rnacentral:misc_RNA from 1 species
UUUCCGUAGGUGAACCUGCGGAAGGAUCAUUCAUAAUAAAGUGUUUUAUGGCGCUUUUUAAAAAUCCAUAUCCACCUUGUGUGCAAUGUUAGAUCUCGUCAAUCUUGGCGAGAUUUUUAUACAUCAACUCAUUCUUUAACUAAUUUGUCUGUGAAAUAUUAUGAAUACUUAAUUCAAAAUACAACUUUCAACAACGGAUCUCUUGGCUCUC